ensembl:lncRNA
GUAACAUUUUACCUUAGGCCUAACUCUAAACUAAACCUAAAGUCUGGAUGGAUGAUAGGAAUAAUCUUUAACAAUGAUGUUAAUCCAGGAUCAAAACUGAGAUUUCUGGGUCACCAGCUCUGGAGGAUAUUGGGAUUUUCAUUUGGCCUUGGACACUGAUGAGGCAGCUAGUGAGGCAAACAUGUUGGAGUGGUUCAGGUCUUCAAACAUGCUGCAUUUGCUGAAGAAUAUAGGAGCUGAUGACAGAUAGAGUCACAUCAUUUCUCUGAGUAAUGCUUCCUGCCGCAGCUGAUUCAGACUGAGCAGCGUGUCAAAUCACAGACUUUUCUAACAGACUGGCGUAUUGUGCCUGUCAUCGCUUUGGAAUUCUGAGUGUAAGCAACCUGGGAAUCUCUGAGCUGAUGUUUCAUUUUGAUUCACUUUCUUACGGGCAAAAGUCUUGGACUGUGGAAUAUGUUGUUUAACACUUGAUGUGCACUUCCUGGUGUUCCAGCAUGUUACAUCAUUCAUUCUUAGAUCAUAGUGAAACCAUAGUAUGUUUUUUUUUUUUUAUAUUGCACUUCACAGUACUUCACUUGUAAUGCAUUUUGAAACUCAGUUCGCCCUUUUUACAGGAAAUGUGUCAUCUUGUGUUCAAAUUAGAAAGUUACUGCAGAGAUUUCAUCAUAUUUUCCCACCUCAGGCCCAAAGUAUCAGGGUAGUAGCCAGCACAGAAAAAGAGAGAUCACAGUUU